CCAGCCUCGCUGCCGCCUUGCAGUUUGAUCUCAGACUGCUGUGCUAGCAAUCAGCGAGACUCCCUGUGAGUAGGACCCUCCGAGCCAGGUGCGGCUUAUAAUCUCGUGGUGCGCCGUUUUUUAAGCCGGUCGGAAAAGCGCAGUAUUCGGGUGGGAGUGACCCGAUUUUCCAGGUUGAUUUUUGAGUAGUGAACCAGCUUUGCAUUCCUGGGCAAUGCUUCCACACAGGACAUAGUUCAGAAGGCAUUAGAAGGCAUAGAGUAAAAAGAUUCCUGAGCCUGAGUCUACUGACAAAUAUACCACAUCCCCAGAGUAAGUUGGAGUCUCUUAAAAUUGUCUUGCUGGCAUCUAGCGGAGAUUGUCCCCACAAGCAUGUUCCUUAUGACGGAUGCCUGGGUCAGAACACAUAAUACAUUCCUUUUUAUAAGCACAAAGAUUCUGAGAAGCACUGCCCCUCCCACGUGUCACACUCUGGGGAGAGAUUAUUGGAAUGCCUCUUGGAUCAGGUAUCUUUGGUGAUCAUUCCACCUAGUUAAGAUGAAGCUGGUGAUAGCCUUUGGCUU
rnacentral:lncRNA from 10 species